UACUGUCGCAAAAAAAUUCCAAGUAUUAUCUAGUCAAAUAGUUACAAUAUAUCGUUUUCAAUAUUCAUCAUUUUGAAUUUAAAAAACAAUGUGGGAGAAGAAGAAUAAUUAACAAUUUAACUUACAAUUAAUUUUCCUGGAUAUUGUUUCUGAACUAAAUUAUAUUUCAAUGCACUUGCUACAGAAUUGAUUAUUUUUAAUUAUAUUUAUGAGAAUAAUUAAAACAUUUGGAUAUUGUUUUAUCAACGCCUACGGCGAUGGUAUUCUGUUCUUAACAUCUGGCUAAUGCGAACCUUUCAAAAAGCUUCAAGCAUUUUGUUAAAACUUCCGAAUCGCGGCUUUUUUGAAAAUGCAACCUUUUUUUGCUGGAAAUGACGUAAAAUGGCCUAAUUAUGAAAAACUUACAUGAAAUAAUCCGGGAGAGGGUCCUUUUGAACGCUUUUUUUGCAAAUUAAUAUUUGUAGAUCACACGUCAAAGUUCACACCUCAUUUUCAUAGUCGCCACUUUAAUUUUCAUUAAUAAUUCAACUCCUGUAGUACGGGUUUUAGUUAGAGAUGGUGUAUUUAUAAGAAACUGAUAAGAAAACGUCGAAGGAAAGGUGUUUUAAUGUUUUUUCGGUGCAAAGUCAUUAGUCCUGAUUAUACGCAAUUGAAAGAAUUAGCAAGUUCUCCAAUAAUCAGCGCCAUAACUAUUUAUCCGCGACUCCUGGAUUGUUAAUCGCUUCGUUUUAUUAACACGUCAAUGCCGCGACAUAUAGAAUGUCCAUUAAUUCCCGUAUCCAGAAGAACACCGCUUUGAACGGAUUUCAAAAACGUGGAAUGAGCAUUGAUUACAUCAUCUAAACA